ACAAAGGUGCAUUUUGGAGAAAACCAAAAUUUGUAUUUUCCUUAAAUGUCCGACUGUAGCUCAAAUAAGAUAAAAAUCAGGUCGUGCGCACCGGCCAGGUGGCGUAACGGGCAAAGUCAGUGUUGCAGCUAUUGAAAACCAGGCUCUAAGCCCUGUGGCUUAGAGUAGCCUAGAGCCCCCCCGGCACCUCUUCGCUCAGAGCGGGUUCGAAUCCAACCCGGGUACGGUCCGAUCACGCUCCACCGGCGAAGUGCGUUUUCCAGCAGCCGGGUCUGCACCUGGCCGGUAUUUUUAGGGGGGUGGCCAUUCUAGGUCACACCCCUAAGAAUGGGGAACAUUGCACGGGAUUAAAGUACUAAAAGGGGUUUACAAAACGGGGACGAAUGACGUAAUUGCAGAUAUUGGCGGCGUUUUACGUCACUGUCACCUGGCGUAAAUUCCCCACGAGUGCGGCUCUCUCCCCCUUCCACGCGUGGGUCUGGUUCAAGAUGGCGGCGCCGGCAGUUUGCGAGAACUUCUGUCUCCCAUCCAGUUGCUGCAACCGAGACCUGAAGCUGUUGGGACUAGUUAAUGAUUAUUUCUUUGGCAUUGUUGGACAUUGUUCGGAAUUGCCGGCAUGGUGCGAUUUUCAAAUAUAAAAUGGGGGUCUCCUUUAAAAGGCGCAUGCUAGUGUCGUGUGUGAACACAUUCCAAGCUGCACAUCUGCAGUGCCUGUCUUACAGCGUGCCGUGGUCACUGUCUAGAGGGAUUCGGUUCUCUCUCCCAGAUCCCGGACAAGCACGUGCCUGUUCGCUGGUCACUGAAAUCUACGUGUUCAGCGGAGCUUUCGUCUGGUGAGUAGGGCCUUCGUGGCUUUGACUGUCUGGUUCUCAUCCUGCACGUCAGCUGGGUUUACAAGAGCAGCAGGAGAACAUGCACUGUCCUGCUGGCAUGUUGUCACUUCAGGAUGAGUCUGCAUGAAGGCCAGGUAGUGAGGACCCAGGACAUGGGCAGUGUAGCACCGUGCAGCCAGGGUGCCAUCAAGCACUACAAGAGGAGUUUGAUAGCAGCUAGACUGUCGCACUCGGGCCUCAUGGUGUUUGUCUGUAAUGUCUUGAUAGGUUAGAGAAUUAUGUUGAACAGAAAUUACUGAACAGUAGAAGACAGUGAACA